AAGUCUUUACAGAUGAACUUUAUUGCCUCCAGAUGAUCACUAAACCAUGGCCGCUCCAUGGUAUACCGUUCCGCGAGCUGGCGGCCGACCUGAUAGCCAAUAGCCUCGAUCCGACGGCCAGUAAGCUCAGGUUUUUUGGCGUCGAAGCGAUUACAGUAUGAUGACACCAUCUCCGUGAGUAGGCUAUCAAUGCAACUCUCUGACACUUCUCUUCCCAUCUCUCUCUCUCUUUCUCUCUGUGCGAAAAGUGAAUUGGCCACAGUUAAUUCUGCUCUCCCCUAUCUGUGAUCUCCUCCUUGACGAAAAUGUGCAGGUCUUCGUCUUUUGGGCAUUAGUCUUAGGCUGUAUCCGAUUAAGGCCACGGCUUCAACUG
rnacentral:misc_RNA from 1 species